AAUUCACGACCUUGGCAAAUAAAAUUGAGCAUGCAACGAUGAACAGGGACAAGAUUUUGCUUGGGAUUUUCAUCGAGCAUGUAUCGUCCAUGAUGAAAUUUUCUCAUAUAUUUUAGCUUUAGUACGGGAAUUUUCCCGAAAGUUUUUACUUUCAGUUGGCGAGCAAUCAUUAGAUCCAGAAUGAAUUUUGUUGCCUAUAAUGCCAGAGCAAUGUAAACUUAUUCUUUGCAAUCCCUAGGCCCACCUUCUUGCCAGCCGAAAAAUGCAUCAACUUCUUUUAAUCAAAAUAAUUGAUAAUCCAGAUAUUCCAACUCCAUCGCCGUCGAUUCACUCGAUUGGCAAACUUAACAGACCCGACAACGCAUCAGCCUUCUAAUCGAAAAGUAAAAUUAUAAUAGAAACCAAUUAAACCGCCAUAUAUUAAUAUGCCGACAGGCUUCUUAUUGAUAUUCAGCUAUACGUUGGGUUGUGGUGAGUGACAAGAAGAGAAAGAUAAAUACUGGUAACAAGUUUUGUUUUGGAAGAGAAGAAGAGAAGGUGGAGGAGGAGCAUACGGCAGUGGGCGGGAAAUCAACGGGAGCAUAGUUGUUGGUCAAAACUCAAAACUAGCGGAGGCAAUGGC
rnacentral:lncRNA from 1 species